CCCUUAGAUGUUCUGGGCCGCACGCGUGCUACACUGAGUGGAUCAGCGGGUCAGGUUGCGCGAAAGUGUUUCCUAAUCUUGAAAUCCGCUCGUGAUGGGGAUUGACGGUUGCAAUUUUCCGUCAUGAACGGGGAAUACCUUGUAAGCGCGGGUCAUCAUCCCGCGCUGAAUACGUCCCCGCCCUUUGUACACACCGCCCGUCGCUCCUACCGAUUGAGUGGUCCGGUGAGGCUUUGGGAUCUGAGCGGAAAGAGCGUUUCGCUGUUUCUGCUCGGAAAACUCAGUCGAACCUUAUCAUUUAGAGGAAGGAGAAGUCGUAACA
rnacentral:rRNA from 1 species